rnacentral:rRNA from 1 species
GAUGAACGCUGGCGGCGUGCCUAAUACAUGCAAGUCGAGCGAACGGAUGAGAAGCUUGCUUCUCUGAUGUUAGCGGCGGACGGGUGAGUAACACGUGGAUAACCUACCUAUAAGACUGGGAUAACUUCGGGAAACCGGAGCUAAUACCGGAUAAUAUUUUGAACCGCAUGGUUCAAAAGUGAAAGACGGUCUUGCUGUCACUUAUAGAUGGAUCCGCGCUGCAUUAGCUAGUUGGUAAGGUAACGGCUUACCAAGGCAACGAUGCAUAGCCGACCUGAGAGGGUGAUCGGCCACACUGGAACUGAGACACGGUCCAGACUCCUACGGGAGGCAGCAGUAGGGAUUCUUCCGCAAUGGGCGAAAGCCUGACGGAGCAACGCCGCGUGAGUGAUGAAGGUCUUCGGAUCGUAAAACUCUGUUAUUAGGGAAGAACAUAUGUGUAAGUAACUGUGCACAUCUUGACGGUACCUAAUCAGAAAGCCACGGCUAACUACGUG